rnacentral:rRNA from 1 species
UCCAAUAGCGUAUGUCAAAGUUGUUGCGGUUGAAAAGCUCGUAGUUGGAUCUCGAUGCUGGGCUGGCGGUGCGCCCGUUGUGGCGUGUCUACUGCCAGUGCCGGCGAUAAAAAGAGGCCGGCAGAUAUAUUCCCUUGGUGCUCUUGACUGAGUGGCUUGGGUGGCCGGAACGUUUACUGUGAAAAAAUUAGAGUGCUCAAGGCAGGCCUACGUGCCCGAAUACUGGUGCAUGGAAUAAUAGAGAAGGACCUCGGCGCCACGUUUGUUGGUUUACGGUGCUCGAGGUAAUGAUUAAGAGGGACUGCCGGGGGCCUACGUACUGCGGCGCGAGAGGUGAAAUUCUGUGACCGUCGCAGGACGAACGAAAGCGAAAGCAUUUGCCAAGAAUGUUUUCCUUAAUCAAGAACGAAAGUCAGAGGUUCGAAGACGAUCAGAUACCGUCGUAGUUCUGACCGUAAACUAUGCCAACUGACCCUCCGCCGUUGGUUGCUUUAUUGACUGGGCGAGGAGCCCCCGGGAAACCAAAGUCUUUGGGUUCCGGGGGGAGUACGGUUGCAAAGCUGAAACUUAAAGGAAUUGACGGAAG